GCCCCGGUGGCGGAAUUAGGCAUACGCGGCAGGUUGAGGACCUGUGCCCUUCUGGGCGUGCGGGUUCGAGUCCCGCCCGGGGCA
rnacentral:tRNA from 1 species